GCCCGGCCCGGCCCGGCCCAGCCCAGCCCGGCCCGGCCGCGCUCACCUAGUCCCGGUGCGGCCUCCGCGCUCCGGGCACCGCGGGAGCGAGGGGAAGGCGCGGAGCGGGGCGGCGGCGCGGCGGGCUGCCCUCCCCCGGGGCCGCCCUCCCUCAUCCUCCCCGCGGCGGAGCGGCCGGCGCCUCAUGAGUCACCGAGCCCGAGCCCGGGCCCGCACACGUGCCCGGCCCCGCCGCCUCCGGCCGGGGGAGGGACGGCAGGGGCGGCCUAGGGGCGGGCAGCGCUGCCCGCGGCCCGGCCGUGUCCGCAGAACACCCAGCGCUAUUGCUCCAGACCCCCCAAACGCCGUCCCUGACGACACGAUCCUCUAAAGAUAUCUUUGCUUCCCAAAGCAGGUAGAAGGAGCCUGCUUUGCUCCCGGUUCCCGCUCUUCCUUCAUCUUAGCAAGAGAAGCCGUUGCAGAGCGGUUGGUUUUGCCGGCGUGGCCCCAGCGAGGCCAGCCCGGAGGCUGCUGCGGGGGGUGGCAUGCGGCUCCCCCGGCACCCACCCCGAGGACCUGCACCGCUCCCUGUCCCUCCAGAGCUGCAGGCCCAUCACCGAGGCAACAGGGAACGAUGCAGAGUGCUGUUGCCUCAUGGCAAGUACUCCAGCAGUUUCUGUUCCUCCCUGUUGCUAAAUUUAACUGUGCCAGUUAACCAACACAGGGAAAACCCUUCCUGCCCUGGGCACAGGCUCUGCCCAGUGGCUCCAGCAGGCACCAAAGCGCAGGUGGGUCCCUGACCGCCUCCCUGUGGGUCCCUUGGGGUCAGGUUGCCAGAUGAUCAGCACUGCUGCCUCUCCACAGGAACAUCGAGUACCACAGGGAACUUCCUAGAGGCUUAACCACUCUGUGAUUCAGGAAGCACUAUAAAACAGACGUGUCACACACUCACAGCUCCACCUCCAAAGAGCUUUCUCCUCGCUGUGGUUAUGAAAGAGCCAUCAAAUAAAUGAGUGUUCAUGGAGAGAAAGAGUGGGACUCCUUCACAGGGGCUCUGCUGCCAGCAUAGCCUACCCUGUGCAAAACAACAUCCUAAUGUCUGUGAGGAGGCAAUUUUGUCCCAUAGUUGUUUCACAUCGGCCCUGCACCAGCAGGGACUGCAGCACACAGCGAGGGUCUGAGGGCUGCUGCAAGGAUUGGGUACCACAGGUACCGUGCACAUUAGAAACCAAAGCACAAAAACUAUGAAGGCUUUUCUGUGGUUAAGUUUUCAAAUUGGGUCUGAUCUCCCUUCCAGCUCCCUUCACAGCUCAGGCCAGUUCCCCAGCCCAGCACGGGCACUUCACUGAAGGGCUGCCCCACUGCUCUCCUCCUGUGGGGAAACACCAGAUACUCCACAGACCUCUGUCCUUUACACCUUACACUUCUUGGUGACUUUAUUCUGAAUCCUCAUCCCUCUCUCUUUUACUAUUUUCAGCAUUACUGGCACGUUACCAUCUCUCUCCAGGAGCAUGUGGUGGCCACAGCAGCCCUUGGGGCUAGGUGCUGUGACAAGCAGCGGUCAUGCAGU
rnacentral:lncRNA from 13 species